rnacentral:rRNA from 1 species
CUUGGUCAUUUAGAGGAAGUAAAAGUCGUAACAAGGUUUCCGUAGGUGAACCUGCGGAAGGAUCAUUAACGAAGUUCAUUGGGAGUUGAGCUGACUCUUCGGAGUAUGUGCUUGCUUUCAACUCUUCUCUUUAACCACCUGUGCACCUUUGUAGUCUAUUGAUACCUCUCAAAGAGUCGAAAGACGAUUUGGAUAGAGGACUUGCAGUCUAAAUACUCGCUUGUCUUCAAUUUCAAUAGACUAUGUCUUAUAAACUCAAUAUAAAAAACCAGAAUGUCUUUUGUAGUGUCUUUAUACGACCUAUAAACUUAUACAACUUUCAACAACGGAUCUCUUGGCUCUCGCAUCGAUGAAGAACGCAGCGAAAUGCGAUAAGUAAUGUGAAUUGCAGAUUUCAGUGAAUCAUCGAAUCUUUGAACGCACCUUGCACUCUUUGGUAUUCCGAAGAGUAUGCCUGUUUGAGUGUCAUUAAAUUCUCAAACCUCUUUGGCUUUAUUGGUCGAAAAGGCUUUGGAUGUGGGAGUUGCUGGAACUAGUCUUUCAGCUCUUCUUAAAUGUAUUAGCGGGUUACUGAUCUCCGCUACUUGGUGUUGAUAGUCUAUCUUACACCUUGUAGUUGAAUCAACUUAUGUAGCUGCUUCUAAUCGUCGACUUGGUUGACAAAUUUACUUGACUAUUUGACCUCAAAUCAGGUAGGACUACCCGCUGAACUUAAGCAUAUCAAUAAGCGGAGGAAAAGAAACUAACAAGGAUUCCCCUAGUAACUGCGAGUGAAGCGGGAAAAGCUCAAAUUUAAAAUCUGGCAGGUCUUGUAUCUGUCCGAGUUGUAAUUUAGAGAAGUGUUAUCCGCGUUGGACCGUAUACAAGUUUCCUGGAAUGGAGCAUCAUAGAGGGUGAGAAUCCCGUCUUUGAUACGGACUACCAAGGCAUUGUGAUACGCUCUCGAAGAGUCGAGUUGUUUGGGAAUGCAGCUCAAAAUGGGUGGUAAAUUCCAUCUAAAGCUAAAUAUUGGCGAGAGACCGAUAGCGAACAAGUACCGUGAGGGAAAGAUGAAAAGAACUUUGGAAAGAGAGUUAAACAGUACGUGAAAUUGUUGAAAGGGAAACGCUUGAAGUCAGUCGCGUUGGCUUGGAAUCAACCUUGUUUUACUUGGUGUACUUCCUUGUUGAUGGGUCAACAUCAAUUUUGAUUACUGGAUAAAGAUUAGAGGAAUGUGGCAUCUUCGGAUGUGUUAUAGCCUUUAGUUGUAUACAGUGGUUGGGAUUGAGGAACUCAGCACGCCGCAAGGCCGGGUACUUGUACCACGUACGUGCUUAGGAUGUUGGCAUAAUGGCUUUAAUCGACCCGUCUUGAAACACGGACC